GAUGAACGCUGGCGGCGUGCCUAAUACAUGCAAGUCGAGCGAACAGACGAGGAGCUUGCUCCUCUGACGUUAGCGGCGGACGGGUGAGUAACACGUGGAUAACCUACCUAUAAGACUGGGAUAACUUCGGGAAACCGGAGCUAAUACCGGAUAAUAUAUUGAACCGCAUGGUUCAAUAGUGAAAGACGGUUUUGCUGUCACUUAUAGAUGGAUCCGCGCCGCAUUAGCUAGUUGGUAAGGUAACGGCUUACCAAGACAACGAUGCGUAGCCGACCUGAGAGGGUGAUCGGCCAAACUGGAACUGGAACACGGUCCAGACUCCUACGGGAGGCAGCAGUAGGGAAUCUUCCGCAAUGGGCGAAAACCUGACGGAGCAACGCCGCGUGGGUGAUGAAGGUCUUCGGAUCGUAAAACUCUGUUAGUAGGGAAGAACAAAUGUGUAAGUAACUAUGCACGUCUUGACGGUACCUAAUCAGAAAGCCACGGCUAACUACGUG
rnacentral:rRNA from 1 species